GUGUCCUUGGUGUAGAGGCAACACAUGUCCCUGUUGUCGUCGAUUGCAAGCAGUUCGAAUGUCUCACAUACGGGCAAGUCCGGGGUUUGGAACCCCGAGGACACA